CCUCCCACCCUGCCGCGCGUGCCCGCUUGGGCAGAUGGCGCCGAGCUAAUUAGUCGCGAUGCCCCACACGGGGUUCGGAUCUCCUCACGAGCAGUAUUAUGUCUGUGCACGGCGGCUAGUAUGGCUAGAAGAAGCAGGCGGCAAUCCGCUGGCGAGGUGACAGCCGAAGAGAAGAGGCAUGGAGAUGGAUGGCAGUAGGACACUCGAAGUCCUCCUAGAGUGGAUGAAAAAGAUUCAACUGCUGUCCUGCUGGGCUUCAUGGAAACUCUGAGUUCCCAGGUAUCGGCCAGCCCUGUAUUAGUGACAUGAAGCCAGGGACUACCUUUUACGUCUUCAACAAAAACUUCUUGGUUGAAUUUGAUUCAUCUGUCAUUUGUGAAAUUAAAGACUUAGAAGACAGAGGACCUGGCCAGAAAUUUCUGUUCCGCUCCAGUUGUACAAAAGCCUCUUCCUUCCUGCUUCCAGUGUGUAGAAGCACAGACACAUUGUAUUUAAAAGAUGGCUGCAGGCACAGACCCUGACUCUCUUAAUGCUGUGAGCCUGGCGGAUGCAGCUCUCCCUGCCCACCUGCCUGUAGGGACCAGCCUGCGUCCUCAUCCCCCCCUUCUCUGCAGCGGUCUUCAAAUGGCUACCACAGAGAAGGCAAGAGACCUCCCACAUCUUGUUCAUGUGUAAGCAAGCGCCCUUUCUCGGCUCGCUUCAUGGUCAGAUAUGUUUCCUAAAAAUUGUUUCCUUUCCAGUACGUGGGCUAUGUGGGGGGUUACAUGGUGCAGGGAGUGGCUGAUCGUUGCGGAUAUUCAGGCGAAUUGAUUGUGCCUGGAUAAAACAUCCAGACGUUUUUUGCAAUUGAACUUUCAACCAGAUUGGUUGAAGGCAAAAACUCAAGUCAGAAAGGCCACCAGAACAGGACAGGAACGGGCAAUAGAAGGCUAUAGGGGCAGCAGCAAGUGCUACAUAUUUCUAUCAAGGAAAACCUGGGCUUUUAGGUUCUGCCAAAUGACUCAAAAUUCACUACAGCAAAGCUCCAGAGAUGAAAGAAAGGGCAGCGUUAAGGCUGUUCUACCCGCGGCGGUUUGGUGAAGCUACAGCCAGAAUAAGCCUAGCAGCUCUCCUUUAUUCCAGCGCUCUAUUAAAUGUAAAUGAAGAACCAUCUAAUCUCUGCCAAAAUUAAUUCUGACAUAAGGAAUGAGACCAGUCCUUCAGGCAUCAUUAGGA